rnacentral:rRNA from 1 species
GACGAACGCUGGCGGCGUGCUUAACACAUGCAAGUCGAACGAAGAGCGACGGAAGCUUGCUUCUAUCAAUCUUAGUGGCGAACGGGUGAGUAACGCGUAAUCAACCUGCCCUUCAGAGGGGGACAACAGUUGGAAACGACUGCUAAUACCGCAUACGAUCUAACCUCGGCAUCGAGGAUAGAUGAAAGGUGGCCUCUACAUGUAAGCUAUCACUGAAGGAGGGGAUUGCGUCUGAUUAGCUAGUUGGAGGGGUAACGGCCCACCAAGGCGAUGAUCAGUAGCCGGUCUGAGAGGAUGAACGGCCACAUUGGGACUGAGACACGGCCCAGACUCCUACGGGAGGCAGCAGUGGGGAAUCUUCCGCAAUGGACGAAAGUCUGACGGAGCAACGCCGCGUGAGUGAUGACGGCCUUCGGGUUGUAAAGCUCUGUUAAUCGGGACGAAAGGCCUUCUUGCGGAUAGUGAGAAGGAUUGACGGUACCGGAAUAGAAAGCCACGGCUAACUACGUG